rnacentral:rRNA from 1 species
GGAAUUAACACUCAAGCAAUUUAAAGGGGCUAUUAAGGAAGACAAGCAAAUUUAUAAAAAAGGAGGUUAAUCAUACCAAAAGCCCCAUAUUAACAAAUAAAAAUGUGGCAAUCCUAAGGGAAACCUUAAUAUAAGUACUUCCCGAACCAAAACAUUGUAGUAGGGAAAGGAAAGUAAAUCAACCGAGACUCCGAAAGUAAUGGUGAGUGAAAUCGGACCAGCCUAUCAAUAAUUUAAAAACUGAAAUUUCUUUCGAAUAAGAUAUCAUAUACCCGUCCGAAGGACAGCUUUGCGCGGGAGCCGAAGAAGGUGUUAGCCCUGUAGGGGUUUAAAUUAUUGUAUAUCAAGUACGAUGAGAGAUAACUUGUCGGAAUAAAGGGGAACCAUCCUCUAAGGGCUAAGUAUUAUAAAUUUAGCGAUAGUGAACAGUACUGUAAAGGAAAGUUGAAAAGAAAGUAGAUGACUAGUGAAAAGAUCCUGAAUUAGUAGCUCUAUAAGCAGUCGGAAUUUAAAUUAAAUAAUGUUGAAUGACGACGUACCUUUUGCAUAAUGGGUCAGCAAGUUAAUAUUAGUAGCGAGGUUUAAAGCCCUAGCGAAAGCGACUGUACCGAUAUAAUACAAAAUAUAUAGGUAAUGGGAUUAUGUUACUGAUAUUAGACCCGAAACGAGGUGAUCUUUCCAUGGCCAGAUUAUAAUGGAUCGAACGGGUGAAUGUUGCAAAAUUCUCCGAUGAGCUGUGGAAAGGGGUGAAAGGCCAUUCUGACCUCGAGAUAGCUGAUAUUCCACGAAACAUUUUUUAGAAUGACACUUACGAUUUUUUUUUUUCAUGAGAUUUAUGCAGGUACAGCACUAGGAAUUCCAUACUCUGUGUUUCCGACACAGGUUAAAUUGGGGGGUGUUGCAACUCUACCAUUGGAAAUUAAUCUCGGAAUGGCAUAAAUUGAUAGUAAGUAUUCAGACUGUUCAUGAUAAGGUGGGCAGUCAAAACGGAAACAGCCGUGAGCAUGUAUUAAGGUCCCAAAAUGAUUAUUAAGUGAAAUAAAGGAAGUUACUCUCUAAAUACAGCUAUAAAGUGAGCUUGGCAGUCGCUAUCUUUUAAUGAUCGUGUAACAACGCAGUAGUCUAAUGGAGUUUAGCACCGAAAAUUUAACGGGUCUAGAUAAUCUACCGAAAUCAUGCCGCUUUGAUAUAUUAUGUCCCUGUUAUCGAUAAUUGUAGUAUAAUAUGUCCAAGUUGGGUAGUGGAACAUUCAGAACGGAUGAAGAACAGUGUUUCAUUGUUUGGACGUAACUGAAGAGAUAAUGCUGACAUGAGUAACGUAGAAAGAAGUUAUAAUACUUCUCGCCGAAUACGAAAGGGUUGUCCGGUAAAGUUAAACUGCCGGACGUUAUAGCGGCCUCUAAGCUACAAAACCAAUGUUUUGUGUGAUGAGUUUUUCACAGAAAGUCUAUUAUUUUGAAAAAUAAUAGACCAGGAAAAGAAUGUGAAUGUUCUACCGCACUGCGGCCCACAGAACACUAACUACCGUACCCUAAACCGACACAGGUUCGUUGGUAGAGAAUACUCAGGCGUAGAGAUAAUGCUUGUAAAGGAACUCGGCAAGUUGUCCUCAUAAGUUUGGCAAUAAGAGGAGCCAUUUAAUGUAUUAAAUGGUGUCACAGAAUCGGAGGCCACGACUGUUUAAUUAAAACACAGACAUCUGCUACGAUUAAUUUAUUUGUAUAGGUGUUGAAUUUUGCCCCAUGCCAUCAACAUAAGGUCUGCGAGUUCAAAUAUGCGGAUUGAAAGUCUGGUUAAUGGCGGUCUUAACUAUAAGGAUCCUAAGGUAGCGAAAUUUAUUGUCCGUUAAAUGCGGUCCCGCAUGAAUAAAGUAACGAUGGUCUCACUGUCUCUACAAGCAUCUCAGUGAAAUUGAAUUAGCCGUGCAGAUGCGGCUUACCUCCGGGUGGACGGGAAGACCCUAUGCAGCUUUACUGUAGUUAGUUAUCACAUUCUCAUAAACUUUGUGUAGCGUAUAAGGUUAAUGUUUGUUUUAAAAACAAAAAGUCGAUAGACACAGUUGAAACACCUUUCUUGGUUUUAUGUUAAUGUUCACCUAAAUUUUUAUGGUUAGGGAUAAAUGACUAAUUGGCAGUUUGUCUGGGGCGGACGUCUUUAAUAGAGUAUCAGAGACAUCCACAAGGUAUGUCUUAAAUUGGAUGGAGACCAAGCAAGCCGUGAACGGUAUAAUAAGGUAUAAUGACUUAAGCAUGCUUAACUGAGAGACCUAUAAGUCAAACAGAUACGUAAGUAGGGCAUAAUGAUCCGGCGGUAUAUAAUGGAAUAGCCGUCGCACAAUAGAUAAAAGUUACGCUAGGGAUAACAGGCUGAUAGUCCGCGAGAGUACAUAUUGUCCGGACUGUUUGGCACCUCGAUGUCGACUCAUCCUAUCCUCCGGGUGUACAAGCUUGGAAGGGUUCGGCUGUUCGCCGAUUAAAAGGGUACGCGAGUUGGGUUUAAUACGACGUGAGUCAGUAUGGUCCCUAUCUUCCGGAGGGACAAAUAGUAAACAGAGGUUGGCCUCUUCGUACGAAAGGAUCAGAUGGCUGUGUUUCUAUAGUGUACCAAUUGUUGGCUAAAGCUGGCACAGUUGGGUAGCCACAAACAUAACGGAUAAGCGCUGAAAGCAUAUCAAGCGCGAAACCGCCCUCUAGAUACUAUCUUUAGUUUCUCAAAACUAAAAAGAUAAGAAAUAGAAUAUUUCUUGAAUAGGGUGCAAGUUAAAUUGUUGUGAAACAUUAAGCUUAGCACUACUAAUUUAUCAAUUGGCUGAGUG